rnacentral:rRNA from 1 species
ACAGAGGGUGCGAGCGUUAAUCGGAAUUACUGGGCGUAAAGGGUGCGUAGGCGGUUGUUUAAGUUAGAUGUGAAAUCCCCGGGCUUAACCUGGGAAUUGCAUUUAAGACUGGACGGCUAGAGUAGAGUAGAGGGAAGUGGAAUUUCCGGUGUAGCGGUGAAAUGCGUAGAUAUCGGAAAGAACAUCAGUGGCGAAGGCGGCUUCCUGGACUCAUACUGACGCUGAGGCACGAAAGCAUGGGGAGCAAACAGGAUUAGAUACCCUGGUAGUCCAUGCCGUAAACGAUGAUAACUAGAUGCUGGUAGGUUAAACUUAUCAGUAUCGAAGCUAACGCGAUAAGUUAUCCGCCUGGGGAGUACGGCCGCAAGGCUA